GACGAACGCUGGCGGCGUGCCUAAUACAUGCAGGUAGAACGCUGAAGGAGGAGCUUGCUUCUCUGGAUGAGUUGCGAACGGGUGAGUAACGCGUAGGUAGCCUGCCUGGUAGCGGGGGAUAACUAUUGGAAACGAUAGCUAAUACCGCAUAAGAGUAGAUGUCGCAUGACAUUUGCUUAAAAGGUGCAAUUGCAUCACUACCAGAUGGACCUGCGUUGUAUUAGCUAGUUGGUGAGGUAACGGCUCACCAAGGCAACGAUACAUAGCCGACCUGAGAGGGUGAUCGGCCACACUGGGACUGAGACACGGCCCAGACUCCUACGGGAGGCAGCAGUAGGGAAUCUUCGGCAAUGGACGGAAGUCUGACCGAGCAACGCCGCGUGAGUGAAGAAGGUUUUCGGAUCGUAAAGCUCUGUUGUAAGAGAAGAACGAGUGUGAGAGUGGAAAGUUCACACUGUGACGGUAUCUUACCAGAAAGGGACGGCUAACUACGUG
rnacentral:rRNA from 1 species